rnacentral:rRNA from 1 species
CCUACGGGUGGCAGCAGUGAGGAAUAUUGGUCAAUGGCCGUAAGGCUGAACCAGCCAAGUAGCGUGAGGGAAGACUGCCCUAUGGGUUGUAAACCUCUUUUAUGCGGGGAUAAAGGUGUCCACGUGUGGAUUUUUGCAGGUACCGCAUGAAUAAGGACCGGCUAAUUCCGUGCCAGCAGCCGCGGUAAUACGGAAGGUCCGGGCGUUAUCCGGAUUUAUUGGGUUUAAAGGGAGCGUAGGUGGGUCGUUAAGCGUGUCGUGAAAGUUUGUGGCUCAACCAUGAGAUUGCGGUGGAGACUGGAGACCUUGAGUACGCGGAAGGCAGGCGGAAUUCGUGGUGUAGCGGUGAAAUGCUUAGAUAUCACGAAGAACCCCGAUUGCGAAGGCAGCUUGCCGCAGCGUUACUGACGUUGAUGCUCGAAAGCGCGGGUAUCGAACAGGAUUAGAUACCCUGGUAGUC